GAAAUUCUGAAUCAUCAGCUCAUGUCAUUUCUAAAGCCAAGUCCUCAUCCUUUGACUCAUCAAUUAUCAUAUAUUUUUACUCAUAGAUAUUGUCCCUAUCACUUUUUAAAGAUGCAAUUUAUGUCUACUUUCCAGUAAUCGUCAUAUUUUUACCAAAGCUUUUAGCUACCAUCGUUUUUGCCACCUAUGCACUUUUGGUGGUUUUACAGCAAGAAACUUCCAGAUUCCUGGAGUCAUGGACCGCAUGGUUUCCCAUUGUUGUUCUAAUCUGCCCUUCUCACUUCAAACCUCUUCUUCCUAAAAUGAGUUAAGGAUGGACUCUGAUGUUGUUGAAGGUGAGAAGCAGGGCAAAGAGAAACAGAAAAAAAGGGGAGCUGACUGAAACUUGAACGAGCUGGGGAAGUCCAGGUCGAACAUGCACUUACGAGAGAC
rnacentral:antisense_RNA from 1 species